rnacentral:rRNA from 1 species
GAUGAACGCUGGCGGCGUGCCUAAUACAUGCAAGUCGAGCGAACAGAUGAGGAGCUUGCUCCUCUGACGUUAGCGGCGGACGGGUGAGUAACACGUGGAUAACCUACCUAUAAGACUGGGAUAACUUCGGGAAACCGGAGCUAAUACCGGAUAAUAUAUUGAACCGCAUGGUUCAAUAGUGAAAGACGGUUUUGCUGUCACUUAUAGAUGGAUCCGCGCCGCAUUAGCUAGUUGGUAAGGUAACGGCUUACCAAGGCAACGAUGCGUAGCCGACCUGAGAGGGUGAUCGGCCACACUGGAACUGAGACACGGUCCAGACUCCUACGGGAGGCAGCAGUAGGGAAUCUUCCGCAAUGGGCGAAAGCCUGACGGAGCAACGCCGCGUGAGUGAUGAAGGUCUUCGGAUCGUAAAACUCUGUUAUUAGGGAAGAACAAAUGUGUAAGUAACUAUGCACGUCUUGACGGUACCUAAUCAGAAUGCCACGGCUAACUACGUG